rnacentral:rRNA from 1 species
CCUACGGGUGGCAGCAGUGAGGAAUAUUGGUCAAUGGGCGCGAGCCUGAACCAGCCAAGUAGCGUGAAGGAUGACUGCCCUAUGGGUUGUAAACUUCUUUUAUAAAGGAAUAAAGUGAGGCCCGUGUGCCCUUUUGUAUGUACUUUAUGAAUAAGGAUCGGUUAACUCCGUGCCACCAGCCGCGGUAAUACGGAGGAUCCGAGCGUUAUCCGGAUUUAUUGGGGUGAAAGGGAGCGUAGGUGGGUUGUUAAGUCAGUUGUGAAAGUUUGCGGGUCAACCCUAAAAUUGCAAUUGAUACUGGCAGCCUUGAGUACAGUUGAGGUAGGCGGAAUUCGUGGUGUAGCGGUGAAAUGCUUAGAUAUCACGAAGAACUCCGAUUGCGAAGGCAGCCUACUAGACUGCCACUGACAUUGAUGCUCGAAAGUGUGGGUAUCGAACAGGAUUAGAUACCCGAGUAGUC